AGGGAAUCUUCCGCAAUGGACGCAAGUCUGACGGAGCAACGCCGCGUGAGUGAAGAAGGAUUUCGGUUCGUAAAACUCUGUUGUUAGAGAAGAACAGCGCAUAGAGUAACUGUUAUGCGUGUGACGGUAUCUAACCAGAAAGCCACGGCUAACUACGUGCCAGCAGCCGCGGUAAUACGUAGGUGGCAAGCGUUGUCCGGAUUUAUUGGGCGUAAAGCGAGCGCAGGCGGUCAAUUAAGUCUGAUGUGAAAGCCCCCGGCUCAACCGGGGAGGGUCAUUGGAAACUGGUUGACUUGAGUGCAGAAGAGGAGAGUGGAAUUCCAUGUGUAGCGGUGAAAUGCGUAGAUAUAUGGAGGAACACCAGUGGCGAAGGCGACUCUCUGGUCUGUAACUGACGCUGAGGCUCGAAAGCGUGGGUAGCAAACAGGAUUAGAUACCCUGGUAGUCCACGCCGUAAACGAUGAGUGCUAAGUGUUGGAGGGUUUCCGCCCUUCAGUGCUGCAGUUAACGCAUUAAGCACUCCGCCUGGGGAGUACGACCGCAAGGUUG
rnacentral:rRNA from 1 species